AAAUUGACCAAAGGGACACCAAAUGAUUGUCGAGCCGUAUGAGUUAGGAAACUCUUAAGUACAAAUUUAAGGGAACGAAUUUACUUAUCAUUCUGAUCGGGAAAACAAGCCUAUCCCUAAAGGGAUUAAAAAAAGAGAACAAUGAGGGAUUGGAGAGGGGAACUUAGAUCCACAUCCAUUGCGGGCUUGAACUAGUUUGUCUUAAAUAUGAUCCAAACCUAGAUCCAAAUCUAAGAUUAGAACGACCCAUGAACCCAAAAAUGGUUGGACCAUCAUUUAAUUUUUUUCUUUUUCUUUUUUCUGGAACUUUAGUAUGAUUUAAAAUUAAAUCAUAGCUAGCAAAUGAAUAUUUACAUUGUUAAAUUGUUUGUAAAAUAAUAAAAAAUUAGGCUUAUUAGCGCAAAAUCCCUCUAUCCUUUGGACGUAUAGUGGAAUACUCCUUAUUCUUCCAAAUUGGCCAAAC
rnacentral:lncRNA from 1 species